UACGUAGGUGGCAAGCGUUGUCCGGAAUUAUUGGGCGUAAAGGGCACGCAGGCGGUUUCGUCAGUCCGAUGUGACAGGCCACGGCUCAACCGUGGAAGGCCAUUGGAAACUGCGAAACUUGAGGACAGAAGAGGAGAGUGGAAUUCCACGUGUAGCGGUGAAAUGCGUAGAUAUGUGGAGGAACACCAGUGGCGAAGGCGACUCUCUGGUCUGUACCUGACGCUGAGGUGCGAAAGCAUGGGGAGCGAACAAG
rnacentral:rRNA from 1 species